rnacentral:rRNA from 1 species
AACGAACGCUGGCGGCAGGCUUAACACAUGCAAGUCGAACGGAUCCUUCGGGAUUAGUGGCAGACGGGUGAGUAACGCGUGGGAACGUACCCUUUGCUACGGAAUAACUCAGGGAAACUUGAGCUAAUACCGUAUGUGCCCUACGGGGGAAAGAUUUAUCGGCAAAGGAUCGGCCCGCGUUGGAUUAGCUGGUUGGUGGGGUAAUGGCCUACCAAGGCGACGAUCCAUAGCUGGUCUGAGAGGAUGAUCAGCCACACUGGGACUGAGACACGGCCCAGACUCCUACGGGAGGCAGCAGUGGGGAAUAUUGGACAAUGGGCGCAAGCCUGAUCCAGCCAGGCCGCGUGAGUGAUGAAGGUCUUAGGAUUGUAAAGCUCUUUCACCGGUGAAGAUAAUGACGGUAGCCGGAGAAGAAGCCCCGGCUAACUUCGUG